AUGAAGCCCGGCGGCCACAUCGCACAGAUGAUCCUCCAGGUGAUCGCGACGCCGAAGGUCGCCGAGGUGGAGGACCUCGACGCUACCGUCCGGGGGGAGGGAGAAUUCGGGUCCACCGGCGUGUGCACUCCGAGCCUUGGUAGAUACAUCUAG
rnacentral:rRNA from 1 species